GUCAGCCCCAGUGACUCUGUGUCCCACAGAUCCAGCAGCAACUAUGGUCAUGAGAAGGGCUGCUCUGAGAGUAGAACUGUUCACUUGAUGUUUCAAAAUGCAAUAUAAAUGUAGCUGCCUUUGCUCAGAGUUGAUUAUCCAUUUUUUCUAAUACUCACAUUUUAGGCUCCUGAUGGUCUUGGACUGGUCCCAAUUAAGCCUUUGGAUGUUCAAAUUAAGCAGAGUUAUUCCUUCUUCAAUUUGCAGGUUCCUCAGCUAUACAAAAUUAAGAGAUACCAGCCAUUCUCUGUGCAUAAGUCUUCAACAAGUUAUAAAUCUCAAAAGCUCGCACGGCCUCUGAAGCAAGGAGCUGAGGAUGAAGUCACCACCAUCAUAGCACUACCAAAACUGGAUUCAACAUCUCCACACUCUGGCAAGUCCUCAAUCUUGAGUAUGAAACCACCUGAGAGCUUAGCCAAGUCCGUAGACUACUACCCACUUUAUGUCUUUAAUCCCAGUCCAGGCUUAUUUGCUGUGAAGAACCCUCUGACUUAUUCAGAAACGUUGAUAGAUUACCAUCUGUGCACUCACCCCAAGUACAAGUUCACCCAUGGGUUGCACCGUGGCUCCAGCAUUCCCCUCACCCAGAAGCAGUUUCUCCAUCACACGGACAUUAUUCCUGAAAUUAUGCAUUGGAAGAGAUUCCAGUCCCUGGCCCUCUCAGCCCUGCCUGACCCUUCCAAGACAGAGCCUUCUCACAGCUGUGACUACAACCAAGUCAUGCUUCCUGUAGACACCCCUGCCCUUCUGGACGCUUUGCCUGAAGAAGACCGACUGGAAGC
rnacentral:lncRNA from 1 species